GAAAGAAUGAAGUGUCCUUCAACCAAGGAAAAUACUGUCCUAGCUGGGGCCUGUCAGCGGUGUAGAUUUCUGUUCUGUGGUGCUUGGUAACUUCAUAUGUUCUGUAGGUAGCUGCAGCUAUAUGUUCCCUGUAAACUGCCCCUGGCUUUCAGGCUUUUUUGACUAAAGUCACAUGUAGUCUGAAAGUGUUUUGAGUUGCAUUUCACUGCUACUCUUAAUUAAAGCAUUAUCAAAGUAAAUUCAGAUUCUGAAGCUUAAAAGAUCAGAGUACUUCAAUUCUAAACAUCAGCCUCUUUCAGUUUUGGAAAGUUGAAAGCAUCUGCUAAGGUAGACUGUUGCAUAUGACUUUUCUUCAACAGCAUCUUUCUCAAACUGACAAAACACGGAUGAAGGCCUUCCAUGGCAUUUCUGCUACAGCCUCCUGCACUAGCAGAGGCCUGGAGCCAUCUUUCUACCUUCCUUAUGACUCAGGCUGCCUAGCAACAAGGUCCCAGAGGGGGAACUGCUUGUGGCAGGAUCACAGGGGGCUGGAAGGAGCAGCAACCAUCAGAUGUAGUAGAAAGAAUGGAGUCCAGCCAGCUGUGUGCCAUGCCUGUGGGACUGUGCUUUUGUUCUGCAGGGUGAGUGAGACCACCAGGCAGCUUUGGGUUACCAGGAGAUGA
ensembl:lncRNA